AGGAGUACCCCCCCGCGCCUCCUCCUUUUCUUGCCUUUUCNUAGACUUGAAGGNGUGAAACCCAGGGGACCAANCCGGUUUAGAUACCCGGUUUUUUUUUGUCUUUAAAAUAANGAAUAAUUAGUUUUGGGGUUUAACUUUCCGUUCCCGCCAGGCAACUCCAUUAAGCUCUCCNCCAUGGUUAUUACUGGGCUACAAGCCCUGAACUUCAAAGGAANUGUACGGGGACCAANCACAAGCCGGUUGGGCAUGUUGUUUNAUUCGAUGCAACGCGAAGAACCUUACCAGGGUUUUUNAUUUUUUUCCUCCCCCCUCCUGAAAGGUGAGGGGGGGGGGGGGAAAAAAAAAAAUAAAUUAGCACAGGUACUGCAUGGCUGUCGUCAGCUCNUGCCGUGAGGUGUCUGUUUAAGUGCGGUAACGAGCGCAACCCUAGCCCUUAGUUGCUACAUUAACGGUGGGCACUCUAAGGGGAGAGCAGGCGACGAGUACGGAGGAAGGAGNGGAUGACGUUCAAGUCCUCAUGGUCUUUAUGCUCUGGGCUUCAUCUCGUGCUCCAAUGGGGGGGACAGAGGGAAGCGAAGUCUCGAGAAGGAGCAUAUCCCCAGAAAAUUCCGGCUACAGUUCAGAUUCUCAGGAAGGAGAGUUGGCUG
rnacentral:rRNA from 1 species